rnacentral:rRNA from 1 species
UGGGGAAUUUUGGACAAUGGGCGAAAGCCUGAUCCAGCAAUGCCGCGUGUGUGAAGAAGGCCUUCGGGUUGUAAAGCACUUUUGUCCGGAAAGAAAUCCUUGGCUCUAAUACAGUCGGGGGAUGACGGUACCGGAAGAAUAAGCACCGGCUAACUACGUGCCAGCAGCCGCGGUAAUACGUAGGGUGCAAGCGUUAAUCGGAAUUACUGGGCGUAAAGCGUGCGCAGGCGGUUUGCUAAGACCGAUGUGAAAUCCCCGGGCUCAACCUGGGAACUGCAUUGGUGACUGGCAGGCUAGAGUAUGGCAGAGGGGGGUAGAAUUCCACGUGUAGCAGUGAAAUGCGUAGAGAUGUGGAGGAAUACCGAUGGCGAAGGCAGCCCCCUGGGCCAAUACUGACGCUCAUGCACGAAAGCGUGGGGAGCAAACAGGAUUAGAUACCCCUGGUAGUCCACGCCCUAAACGAUGUCAACUAGUUGUUGGGGAUUCAUUUCCUUAGUAACGUAGCUAACGCGUGAAGUUGACCGCCUGGGGAGUACGGUCGCAAGAUUAAAACUUCAAAGGAAUUGACGGGGUCAUAGCUGUUUCCU